GAUUUGAGUUUGUGUGAUGCAAUUUUAAAGAAAGCGGAAGAAGCGGAAUCCAGUUUGUGUCCAAAGAAAUCAGAAGACUUUUACAAAAAGGAAUUUGAAAAAUUUUGUCACUGGAUGCGGAACAAUAAUGCCGAAAUUGUGACAGAGAAGGUUUUGCUGGCGUAUUUUCUGGAUCAGUCAAAAAAUUACAAGUCCUCGUCAUUGUGGUGCAUGUACUCCAAGCUGAAAUGUAUGUUACGAAUAAAAAAUGACAUUGACAUUAGCCAGUUUUCUAAACUUUCUGCUUUUUUAAAAAAGUGUUCAGUUGGGUAUUCAGCAGAAAAAUCUUUGGUGUUCUCAAAGAAUCAGUUAAUAAAUUUUUUGACCUCGGCUUGUGACGAACAAUAUCUCCUUAUGAAGGUUGUUGCAAUAUUUGGAUUAUUUGGUGCUUGCAGAAGGAUAGAGUUUUACAAUUU